UAGUCAGUGAGAAGAAAAAAUAUCCUUCAUAAAUUCUGAAUGACAAAUUUGCCCAUCCUUUUUUGCAUGUGGUUCCAGCAUCCCGGAGAAUCUAAAGUGUCAUUUCCUCUCUGGAAGAAAGGAAGCACAAAACAUGCUAGGUUUCACUGACUUCAAUCAAUCAAUAUUGACAUAGAACUUAAGAUUUGGAACCUUAUCUUCUGAUCUGAUAAUUUUUCAUUUGAUGAGGAAAGGCGUUAAGCCCUGACAGUCUAUGCAUCCCCCAGAACAUGGGCUGAUUUUAUGUGCACAGAAAGUGGACAAUGAGCCCUUUAAGACACUCUUUUCAAAGGUCCUCGCUAACCCAGAGAUAAUCAAGUCUUUGGAAGAUUUCAAGUAAAACUAGACAGGAAAUUAUAAAGUACUAAGUGAACACACUGCAUAUAUUGAAGAUCGAAGAGAUGAUCCAAUAAUUAUGUCAUGUUUACCUUAAACUGUUAACAGGUUUGAACACGUAAAAAUUAUUUCUACUUUAACUUCCUUAGUGCCUAAACUGGAUACAAAUGGUGAUGUUAUUCUCACAGGGAAACAGUUUCUUUUCACUUUUUUGUGAAAGCAUUUUGAAAAGUUGAAAAGCAUUUUGAAAAGUUGGAAGUAAUGUAUUAUCAUAAAGUGUCAAACUAGGAAGCAAUGAGCUUUUCUAUAUGGCAAAUUCUGAACACUAUAAACCUGUAAAAAAAAAAUGACAGUAAGUAUGUAAUGUAAUUUCUGGAGACUGAUUGGAAAGUAGAAAAUUUCACAUAAGAUUAUGUAUGUGUUCUAGAAUAAUCUUACAAGCAAGGGUAUCUUAGGAUACCUGAGAAAAAUGAGACAGCAGUUUCUUGAUUGGCUUGCUCAGAGGGCAGUUGUGCCAAGGGAGAGCCUAUUGGCUCUCGUUUGUUUUUUCUCUUGAUUUCAACUACUUGUUUCCAGUCCUGUGCAUUGAAGG